AACGAACGCUGGCGGCAUGCCUAACACAUGCAAGUCGAACGAGACCUUCGGGUCUAGUGGCGCACGGGUGCGUAACGCGUGGGAACCUGCCCUUAGGUUCGGAAUAACUCCCCGAAAGGGGUGCUAAUACCGGAUAAUGUCUUCGGACCAAAGAUUUAUCGCCUUUGGAUGGGCCCGCGUUGGAUUAGCUAGUUGGUAGGGUAAAAGCCUACCAAGGCGACGAUCCAUAGCUGGUCUGAGAGGAUGAUCAGCCACACUGGGACUGAGAUACGGCCCAGACUCCUACGGGAGGCAGCAGUGGGGAAUAUUGGACAAUGGGCGAAAGCCUGAUCCAGCAAUGCCGCGUGAGUGAUGAAGUCCUUAGGGUUGUAAAGCUCUUUUACCCGGGAUGAUAAUGACAGUACCGGGAGAAUAAGCUCCGGCUAACUCCGUG
rnacentral:rRNA from 1 species